AACAAGAUAUUAGAGUAUAGUAUUAUUUAAUUUAGUUGUUACCUUUUGCAUCAUGAUAUAAUGAUUAUUAGGGUGUAAACCCAAAAACCGAAGCAGGCAGAUUUACCUUAUUUAUUUUCGAGCUGGGUAAGUUUAAAAGAAAAUUUGGUGGAAAUGAUAAGUUAAUCGUUGUUUGGUAUAACUGGUUAUUAAGUUUUUAAUAAUAGUUAGCCUACUAGUGGGGAGAUUAGGAGGCUGUAAGAAAGGUGUUUAGAUAUUAAAAUAUUAGAAGGGAAUAAAGGUAUCCUGUCUUUUUAGGUGUUAUAACCAGUAUUUAAAUUUAAUUAAGCUUCUUUUAUAAAACUUAAUAUGUAAAAUUUAACGGGACCAAUAAAAUGUUAUAAUAAGUAGCUAAGUAGUUAAACAAUUUCUCGUCUUAAACCGAAAUGUUUAUUAAAAACUUUUCUAUAAGCAAAUAUUUAUAGUAAGACCUGCUCAAUGCAUUUUGUUAAUAGCCGCAGUAUCUUGACUGUGCUAAGGUAGCAUAAUUAAUUGUCCCCUAAAUAGGGAAUUGUUUGAAUGGUUAAAUUGGUUUAUUGGAUAUUAUUCGACUCAUAAAAUGAAAUUAGUAACUGAGUAAAGAGCCUCAGUAUUAACUAAAAGACGGAAAGACCCCGAGAACUUGAUUAAAUUUUAUUUGGGGCAAAGUUCUUUGUUCAAAGAAAUUAUGAACCUUUAGUAGAAAGUUUAAUGGUAAAGCUACCUCGGGGAUAACAGGGUUAGAGGCAAGGAGAGUUCGUAUCGAUUUGCCUAAUUGCUACCUCGAUGUUGACUUGGAAGGGCUUUUAGGUGCAGCAGCUUAAAAAGCAAGCCUGUUCGGCUUUUAAAUUUCUUCAUGAGUUGAGUUAAGACCGGUGUGAGCCAGGUCGGUUCUUAUCUUUAUUUGUACCUUCUUAGUACGAAAGGAUUGGAAGGUGUUUAAGUUAA
rnacentral:rRNA from 1 species